rnacentral:rRNA from 1 species
GAUGAACGCUGGCGGCGUGCCUAAUACAUGCAAGUCGAGCGAACAGACGAGGAGCUUGCUCCUCUGACGUUAGCGGCGGACGGGUGAGUAACACGUGGAUAACCUACCUAUAAGACUGGGAUAACUUCGGGAAACCGGAGCUAAUACCGGAUAAUAUAUUGAACCGCAUGGUUCAAUAGUGAAAGACGGUUUUGCUGUCACUUAUAGAUGGAUCCGCGCCGCAUUAGCUAGUUGGUAAGGUAACGGCUUACCAAGGCAACGAUGCGUAGCCGACCUGAGAGGGUGAUCGGCCACACUGGAACUGAGACACGGUCCAGACUCCUACGGGAGGCAGCAGUAGGGAAUCUUCCGCAAUGGGCGAAAGCUUGAAGGAGCAACGCCGCGUGAGUGAUGAAGGUCUUCGGAUCGUAAAACUCUGUUAUUAGGGAAGAACAAAUGUGUAAGUAACUAUGCACGUCUUGACGGUACCUAAUCAGAAAGCCACGGCUAACUACGUG